GUCCCUGUAGCUCAGUUGGAUUAGAGCACCCCCGUCCUAAGGGGGUUGUCGGAGGUUCGAUUCCCCCCAGGGACA
rnacentral:tRNA from 1 species